rnacentral:lncRNA from 1 species
GGAAUCCCCUUUCCGACAUCUGAUGAGGGGACGGGUCACCUAGACCGGGGAAGGCAGGCUUUUUGGCAGAGCCAGAGAAGGCGGACGGUGAGAGAGGGGUGAGCGAUACUCAGCCCGGUAGGGGAAGCAGUAGGAUUGUGAAGAGCAGUUCCUUGGCUGCCAAGAGACCAUGGAUGUCAACUUCUUAAUGAGAUUUUGGGCCAGAUGCGCUUUGCCUCUGCCCCAGCAUGUAUGAGUCUCUUACUUCUGCAUCCAGCGUGUCUUCUGCUGAUAAAAAGCAUAGAGUGGAGAGACAAGGACACCUGAGGUUUUGUCUCCAAAAUCCCAUCAUCUUCGUUCUUUCCCUGUAAAACAGAGGCGUCGGGCCACAUGAUCCCAGAAGCCUCUUCUGUCUCUGACAUUGCGAUGCUGCCCUAUUUAACCGAGUCCACGACUUGAAGAUUUGUUUUUUGCUCCGUGAGGGACGAGUAAAUCAGAUAUUGCCCAAGAUUGCUGAGGAGGGAAGCAGCAGGCCAGUGGGGAAGAUGAUUCUGCGGUGCUUCCAGAAUAGGGGGUGAGGCGGGGGAGGCAGAGAGAAAGGCCAGGACUUAGCUCCUGUGGACUGGCUCCGUGGGCUUCUCCCCUUCCUCCAUCUCGGCCCAUCACCCUCUCCUCCAGCCAGCACCCCGAGUCCAGGCAGACCUCGGAGGCCAAGCAGAAGCAUCCGAAACUCUUUCUACUUGUACAGAAACGUGGGCUGCCUGGGUUCAAGGUGAUCCCAGAGCAACGUGGAGGAGCUCGCCAGCCAAGAUGGCAGGUGAGGUGGUUGACGUUUUGCUUACGGGCCUUAGCUAAC